GCAUUUUGCCUGCCGUGCUAAUGUUUCUGCCAGCUCGCCGCCUUUGGUUGUGAGCUGGCCCGCCGCAAUGGUUGACAUACCGGCCUCAAAUGGUUUGGACAAGGCGGCAAGCUGGCAGAAACAUUAACACGCUGGGUGAAACACUUAGCAGUAUUUUGUCUGUCUUUAUGUUCAGAGUUCAAAUUCUGCCAAGGUCAGCUUUGCCUUUCAUCAUUCCGGGGUUGAUAAAUUAAGUACCAGUUGUAUACUGGGUCGAUCUAAUCAACAGGCCCCCUCCCCCAAAAUUUCAGGCCUUGUGCCUAGAGUAGAAAAGACUAUUUUCUUUAUAACGAGGUGGCAAGCUGGCAGAAUCGUUAGCAUGCUGGACGAAAUGCUUAGCAGUAUUUCGCUAAUUACUAUGUUCUGAGUUCAAAUUCUGCCGAGGUCGACUUUGCUGUUCACCUUUUCGGGGUCGAUAAAAUAUGUACCAGUUAUACACUGGGGUCGAUGUAACUGAUUCAUCCCCAUCUCCCAUAAUCUGCCCUUGUGGAAAAAAUUUGAAAGAACUAUUUUAUUGACCUGAAAGUUAACCUUGGCUAAAUUCUGAGUUCAAAUUCUACCAAGGUCCACUUUGCCUUUCAUCCUUUACGGAGUCAAUGAAAUAAGUACCAGUUGAACCCUGGGGUCGAUGUAAUCGAUUCAUCCCCACCUCCCCCAAGCUGCCCUUGUGGCAAAAAUUUUGAAAUAACUAUUUAAUUGAUCCUGAAAUGUUAAGUCAACCUUAGCAAAAUUCUCCACCACCAUCACCAUCGCCACUGCUGGUAUCACCUUCGCUGCCACUGCCACCAUUGCUGUUCCUGUCACUGCUGCCACCCCUCUCUGCCAUCACCACCACCACCACCAACACCAGCCAUUCAAGAAUUUGGUCCUGGAGAUCUCCAUUUCCAGUGACUUCGAGGGCCAUCGCCCAGUGGUGUCGGCCGUCAACAAAGAGGUCGACUUUGCUGUUCAUCCUCUCGGGGUUGAUAAAAUAUGUACCAGUUAAACAAUGGGGUCGAUGUAACCGAUUCAUCCCCAUCUCCCGUUAUCUGCCCUUGUGGAAAAAAUUUGAAAGAACUAAUUUAUUGAUCCUGAAAGUCAACCUUGGAGAAAUUCUGAGUUCAAACUCUACCAAGGUCCACUUGGCCUUUCAUCCUUUACGGGGUCAGUGAAGCAAGUACCAGUUGAAAACUGGGGUUGAUGUAAUCGAUUCAUCCCCAUCUCCCCCAAGCUGCCCUUGUGGCAAAAAUUUUGAAAUAACUAUUUAAUUGAUCCUGAAAGGUUGAAAGGUCAAGUCAACCUUGGAGAAAUUCUGAGUUCAAAUUCUGCCGAGGUCGACUUUGCCUUUCAUCCUUUACGGGGUCAAUGAAACAAGUACCAGUUGACCACUGGGGUUGAUGUAAUCGAUUCAUCCCCACCUCCACCAAACUGCCCUUGUGGCAAAAAACAUUUGAAAUAAUUAUUCAGUUUGGACAUCAUCUGGACAAUAAAAAGGGCCUGGAAGAUAUUUGUGGACGUUUUUGGUUAAACCCUUUAGGAUUAAUACUACCCUGUCAAACGUAAUCCUUAUUUAUCCACAUCGUUUUGAAUUAAUCAUGGAUUAUCUCAAAGCUCCUGAGAUUUCGAUAAUGUGAUUGUUUACUUUCAGAAUGACAUUGCAGGUUCAGUGUGAGGGACCUGAUCUGGCUAGUUUGAACUUAAAAAAAAAUUUGGGCGAGAUACGUCCUAGUCAAAUGUAAUCCUUGUUUAUCCACAAUGUUUUGUAUUAAUCAUGGAUUAUCGCUUAGCUUUGAGAUUUUGUUAAUGCAAUUGUUUAUUUUCAGAAUGACAUUGUAGGGUAAGUGUGAGAAGCCCGAUCUGGCUAGUUUGAACAUAAAACAGAAUAUUUGAGCUUAA
rnacentral:lncRNA from 1 species